GGUUACAUUACACUAAAUCAUUGUGUAUCCCUCCGUGGUCCAUUCGAAAGUAGUGCCUAUUUCUAAAGAGUUCCUUUUCUCUUCUUGAAUAUAAGCCAUUUAACAAUGUGAGACAUGUCUUUUGUGGUUAUUUGUAAUAUCCUGUAUGUGUCUGGAGUACUUUGAUGCCUUGGAUUGGAAGCUAACUUAAAAGAUGGACUUUUGAGGGUGUGUUUUCUAUUGUGUGGGGCUUUUGUCGAAAUUAGGAUUCCGAAACACGUUUUUCAACGGUGGGUUCAUUCGACAGCGAUUUACUUUCUUAGAAGUUGCGAGACGGUAUGUUUUUGAUUGCAAUUAUUGGAAGAGGACAGAUCCAUCUUUAAAAUGAUACCAGGUUCGGAAAAAUUGAUACGUCGAAAAGGCAAGAAAAAUGCUGUGAAAGUUGUCAGUUUUAUAAUGGGACCCUAUGGGAAUCGGAAUUAGUGUAAUAUAACCUUAAAAAAGCACAUUUACUGCAAUGUCAAGGUCACAUUGAUUCGUCUGCAAUCGAGACAAGUAGAACAUGAAUUUUAAUGAAUGUUUUGAUGAUUUGGGUGCUAAAAUAGAUGAGAGAUGUCAAUAUUUUGGUUCAAAUGGAUGUUUUAGGUGGUUUUGGACUGUUCCGGAUGGGAGGGGGACCUGGUAUGGACAAGUAAGGGUUACAUUUCCAACAAAUCUUGAAUGUAAAUAUUAUUAUGUCCAAAGAUUGAAGUUUCAGGUGGAGAGCAAGAUGAAAAAUAUGCCAAAUCACAUGAAUGCAACCCAUUUAUGCCAUUUUUCUCUUUGUUUGUAGGCCUGACCAUUUGUCCCUUUUGCCGCAGACGGUCAACAAUCCGCUAGCUGUCUUGCUCUGACUGGUGCACUGGACAUGAUUUCAAUGAGAGUCAUCAUACUGAUUGUUUAAUUCAAACAUGAAUUUCAGUUUGUUCGUUAGAGUACUAACUUAGCUGUGUAUUUACAGUGGACGUAGUGGUGCGUCGCAUGCGGUAGACUAGGUAUUUCCAUAUAUACACUAUGUUUACAGAAUUGCGGCCGGUGAAGCAACAUAGCUGAUGAGUAAAUAGCGCUAGUUCUUCAGACAAAUAACUUUAUUUUCAACCUAUAAAGCAUAUUUAGCUGUAGGUGGGGCCAUUUAGCUGUAAGAUCUGGCUUUGGUUCUGUUAAGCCCUUAGAGUAAUGAAUUUCAGAGUGAAGACCAUAGCGCCUUUUCCUAGUCGAGUAUCGGGCAGCUGUAUGUCUUUUCAGAAAUGCACAUGUCUUCUUUAGUAUGUCAUUGUGAUUGCUUUUAAGAUAGGCAAUAAACUCAUAACCUUUAGAAAAAGGAGCAUCUGUAAAUUCAGAUUUCACUAUUUCAGAGUCAGCCAGACCAUGAUUGAGCUUAAGGAUUGUGCUGCGGAUGCGGCCUGUGCAGUUCCGGGAGAAAGUCACUGUCUUGGGCAUUGCGGUCUGGUAUCAGGUCUGGAUGAUCCUUGCCUGACUCCGGGUUUGUGUACACCUCAAUCCGACUCCCUGUCCGGUACCAUGGCCGCAGUGGUGCAGCCCUUGUGGACGAUCCAUCGACAUCCUGAAAGGUCAACACUUCACCAAGCUGGGAAAAUUGAUCCUGAUAGUCAUCCCCAGGUAGUGAAAUGAAUGUACACUGAACUACAGAGGAAUCACACCCAAAUGACUUUUCUGACAUUAGUGUGGCCCCUCGGGCAGGAAUUCCUUAGCAAACAUGCUUUUUUGCAUGGGGACUGUGGCAUUUUUGCAAAACUUAAGCUUUCAACGCUGGAUUUUAAAGAGAACACUUAAUAAAAUGAAGCCAACAGGACUUAUUUUAAUGAGAGAGACUAUCUGGAUGAGCAACAAAUGUCACAUUGUGUCGUAAGCUGUUGAAGGAGCGAUUUGCGCCAUUUCAAGUGUUAAUUUUGGGUAGCAGGCUUGUAUCGGCUUGAAAGCUGCAAAUUAUUCCUCUCAUCAUGAUAGCAUUAAUUAUUUUAAUUGCAAUGUGUAUGUUUAGAUUGUAAGUGAAGCUUUUAAUAAUAAUUUUCUUGAAAAACAUGA